rnacentral:tRNA from 1 species
GGAUAAAUGGUCGAGUGGUCUAAGACGUCAAUUUUGAAAAUUGAUUUGUUUUUUAAACAUCAUGAGUUCAAAUCUCAUUUUAUCUU